UGGAGGGACUCUCCUCCCUUUGGAACUUGGCCUUGCUUAGUCUCACUGCCCGCUCCAGGAGCUCUGUUAAAAUUUACAAGAAAUUCCUCUCAGUAAAUGCCUGAAUGCACACCCCAUCCAGCACAUACCCUCUACCCCUAACUCCAAAUAGAUGGUACAGCCGAUCCUUAAUGAGCAAAAGGCAACCAAGUGAGGACACGGACUUCUUUUCAGAGGAAAGAAGAAUGUCACUCCUUUCCUUGGACGAGAGGGGGAUUGAUAAAGAGUCUCUCUCUGACCAAAUUUGAAUCAGGCUCCUCUGAGCUCUUUCCAACAAGGCCUUGACUUUUGGACUUC